CGAGUUUUUCGGGCCAUCGCCGGUGUUUCUGGGCAACCAGAAGUGCGGGAGGAAAGUCCGGACUCCGCAGGGCAGCGCAGGGGGUAACGCCCCCCACGGGUGACCGUAGGAACAGUGGAACAGAGAGAAGGUCCAGGGCAUUGAUCCUUUCGCCGGGAACGGGAGGCGAUCGGGGAGCCGCUGGAGUGAAAACAGCCAAACUCUGCGCGGAGCAAGAUCAAAUAGGGUGGCACAGAAAACGCGGCCCGCGUCGAGCCACCGGGUCAGAUCGCUUGAGCGGAACAGUAAUGUCUCGCCUAGAGGAAUGAUGGUCCUUGUUGAAGGCUGAACAGAGAGGCCCCGACAGGACAGGAUCCGGCUUACAGAAAAACUCGUUCU
rnacentral:RNase_P_RNA from 1 species